ACACCCGUAUUAUUGGAUUAUCAGGGCUUCUCCCGAGCUUAGCCUUGUUCAUUUUUUUAUACAACACGGCCGCAUCGCCUCCUCGUCCCGUCACGCUCAGGACUAAAAGGGUGCAGAAUUCCCUGCUCGAAAUGCCCUGAAACGCCCUAAAAAUGGCCACAGCGCUCUUCUUUGGGGCAG
rnacentral:misc_RNA from 1 species